rnacentral:rRNA from 1 species
GGAAGCGACAGCUAAACGAUUGAGUAUGGAGCGCGGUAGGGUGCACUGCACCUGAUUCCUAGCGGCGGAACGAAUGAGUAAUGCUUAGGAAUCUGCCUAUUAGUGGGGGACAACGUUCCGAAAGGGACGCUAAUACCGCACACAUCCUACGGGAGAAAGCAGGGGAUCUUCGGACCUUGCGCUAAUAGAUGAGCCUAAGUCGGAUUACCUAGUUGGUGGGGUAAAGGCCUACCAAGGCGACGAUCUGUAGCGGGUCUGAGAGGAUGAUCCGCCACACUGGGACUGAGACACGGCCCAGACUCUUACGGGAGGCAGCAGUGGGGAAUAUUCGACAAUGAGGGAGAGCCCUGAUCCAGCCAUGCCCGCGUGUGUGAAGAAGGCCUUUUGGUUGUAAAGCACUUUAAGCGAGGAGGAGGCUUACCUGGUUAAUACGUGGGAUAAGUGGACGUUACUCGCAGAAUAAGCACCGGCUAACUCUGUGCCAGCAGCCGCGGUAAUACAGAGGGUGCAAGCGUUUAUCGGAUUUACUGGGCGUAAAGCGCGCGUAGGUGGCUAAUUAAGUCAAAUGUGAAAUCCCCGAGCUUAACUUGGGAAUUGCAUUCGAUACUGGUUAGCUAGAGUAUGGGAGAGGAUGGUAGAAUUCCAGGUGUAGCGGUGAAAUGCGUAGAGAUUUGGAGGAAUACCGAUGGCGAAGGCAGCCAUUUGGCCUAAUACUGACACUGAGGUGCGAAAGCAUGGGGAGCAAACAGGAUUAGAUACCCUGGUAGUCCAUCCCGUAAACGAUGUUUAUUAGCCGUUGGGGCCCUUGAGGCUUUAGUGGCGCAGCUAACGCGAUAAGUAGACCGCCUGGGGAGUACGGUCGCAAGACUAAAACUCAAAUGAAUUGACGGGGGCCCGCACAAGCGGUGGAGCAUGUGGUUUAAUUCGAUGCAACGCGAAGAACCUUACCUGGCCUUGACAUACUGAGAACUUUCCAUAGAUGUAUUGGUGCCUUCGGGAACUGUGAUCCAGGUGGUGCAUACCGUCGUCAGCUGCUGUAUUUAGAUUCGC